rnacentral:rRNA from 1 species
UGGGUAAUUUUGCACAAUGGGGGGAACCUUGAUGCAGCGACGCCGCGUGAGGGAUGGAGGCCUUCGGGUUGUGAACCUCUUUCGCUCGUGUGCAAGCCGCUAUUUGGGUAGUGGUGAGUGUAGCGGGUAAAGAAGCGCCGGCUAACUACGUGCCAGCAGCCGCGGUAAUACGUAGGGCGCGAGCGUUGUCCGGAUUUAUUGGGCGUAAAGGGCUUGUAGGCGGUUUGUCGCGCCUGUCGUGUAAUCCUCUGGCUUAACUGGGGGUGUGCGGUGGGUACGGGCAGGCUUGAGUGCGGUAGGGGAGAUUGGAAUUCCUGGUGUAGCGGUGGAAUGCGCAGAUAUCAGGAGGAACACCGGUGGCGAAGGCGGGUCUCUGGGCCGUUACUGACGCUGAGGAGCGAAAGCGUGGGGAGCGAACAGG